GGCUUGGCUGGGUGGUCUUGCCGAAAGGUAAGCACUGCUCUGGUCGGGUCUUUCCUUCUGGGGAACCAGCGUGCUCUUAACUGAGUGCGUUGGGGAUCCAGGACUUUUACUUUGAAAAAAUUAGAGUGUUCAAAGCAGGCAUUUGCUCGAAUACAUUAGCAUGGAAUAAUAGAAUAGGAC
rnacentral:rRNA from 1 species